CCGGGCGCGCCCCGGGCGGGGCGGGGGCACGGGGGGAACGCGAAGAACCUUACCUGGUCUUGACAUCCACGGAAGUUUUCAGAGAUGAGAAUGUGCCUUCGGGAACCGUGAGACAGGUGCUGCAUGGCUGUCGUCAGCUCGUGUUGUGAAAUGUUGGGUUAAGUCCCGCAACGAGCGCAACCCUUAUCCUUUGUUGCCAGCGGUCCGGCCGGGAACUCAAAGGAGACUGCCAGUGAUAAACUGGAGGAAGGUGGGGAUGACGUCAAGUCAUCAUGGCCCUUACGACCAGG
rnacentral:rRNA from 1 species